CCGGCACGGGUGAGUAACACGUAUCCAACCUGCCGUCUACUCUUGGCCAGCCUUCUGAAAGGAAGAUUAAUCCAGGAUGGCAUCAUGAGUUCACAUGUCCGCAUGAUUAAAGGUAUUUUCCGGUAGACGAUGGGGAUGCGUUCCAUUAGAUAGUAGGCGGGGUAACGGCCCACCUAGUCAACGAUGGAUAGGGGUUCUGAGAGGAAGGUCCCCCACAUUGGACUGAGACACGGCCAA
rnacentral:rRNA from 1 species